UAAUGGCCGCGGUAUUUUGACCGUGCAAAGGUAGCAUAAUCAUUAGUCUAUUAAUUGUUGACUUGUAUGAAUGGUUUUACGAAAUAUUAGCUGUCUCAUUAUUGAUUUAUAUUUAAUUUAAAUUUUAAGUUAAAAUGCUUAAAUUUUUUUAUAGGACGAGAAGACCCUUUAGAUCUUUAUUUAUUAAUUUAUUAAUUUAUUUUAGUUUAUUUAAUUUUUAUAAUUUAAUAUUUUUUGUUGGGGUGACAUUAUGAUAUAAUUAACUCAUUUUAUUUUUAAUCAAUUAUUUUUGUUUAUAUGACCUUGUUUUAUUGUUAUAAGAUUUAGAUACCUAAGGGAUAACAGCGUAAUUCUUUUUGAGAGUUCAAAUCAACAAAGGAGAUUGCGACCUCGAUGUUGGAUUAAGAUUAUUAUUAGGUGUAGGUGCUUAAUUAUUAGGUCUGUUCGACCUUUAAAUUCUUACAUGAUCUGAGUUCAAAACCGGAG
rnacentral:rRNA from 1 species